GAGCUCCUGGAUAACCCUGGUCGGAGCUCUGUGUGCAGCUGCUGUACCUCCAACUGCAAUCUGAGGAAGAGGAGGGACACGGCUGAAGAGGGACUGAGACACACUGCAGUGCUGGGACCCCUGAGGAUCCUUCCUGAAGAGCUGUCUGCUGGAAGCCAGGAAUUCUACCAGAGGAGCCCUGCUCUGUCACUGGAGGAGCCCAGCAGGCUCUGGCCUGGCAGCCUGUCCUGGCUGCUCCCCUGCUCCUAAUGGCUGUCCUGGGAGCCCUGUCUCUGGGCUACUACAUGUGCAUGUGGCAUCAUCCCAGACUCUUCUCCAAGUCCAGCAGGGAGCUCCUCGUUCCUGUCCCCGUUGAUGAAAUGCACACAGCAGUUGCCACGGUUUCCAGCAGCUCGCCAGCAAGGCAUUUCUGAUUUCUUGUAUGUUGCGAAAUAAAAUGGAUACAUAAAGAC